rnacentral:rRNA from 1 species
CAGGACGAACGCUGGCGGCGUGCCUAAGCUUAUGCAAGUCGAACGCGAACGGCUCCUUCGGGAGCCUAGUAGAGUGGCAAACGGGUGAGUAACGCGUGGGUAACGUACCCUGAUCCUGGGAAUAACCCUCGGAAACGAGGGCUAAUACCGAAUGUGGCGAACGACCGGUUGGUCGCUCGCUAAAGGUGGCCUCUUCUAUGCUGCCGGGUUGGGAUCGGCCCGCGUCCCAUUAGCUAGUUGGUGAGGUAACGGCUCACCAAGGCCACGAUGGGUAGCCGGCCUGAGAGGGUGUACGGCCACACUGGCACUGAGACAAGGGCCAGUCCCCUAUGGGAGGCGCAGGCGGGAAUAGUUCACAAUGGGCGAAAGCCUGAUGACGCGACGCCGCGUGAGCGAAGAAGACCUUCGGGUUGUAAAGCUCUGUCAGGAGGGAAGAAGGCUCUACGGGUCAAUAGCCCGUGGGAUUGACGGUACCUCCAGAGGAAGCCCCGGCUAAAUACGUGCCAGCAGCCGCGGUAAUACGUAUGGGGCAAGCGUUGUCCGGAUUUACUGGGCGUAAAGGGCGCGUAGGCGGUUUGUUAAGUCGAAGGUGAAAUCCUCGGGCUCAACUCGAGAAUUGCCUUCGAUACUGGCAAACUAGAGUGGCGGAGAGGAAAGCGGAACUCUUGGUGUAACGGUGGAAUGUGUAGAUAUCAAGAGGAACACCAGCUGGCGAAGACGCCUUUCUGGACGCACACUGACGCUCAGGCGCGAAAGCGUGGGUAGCAAACCGGAUUAGAUACCCUGGUAGUCCACGCCAUAAACGAUGGGUAAUAGGUUUCGGGGGAUCGAACCCCUCCGGUGCCGCAGUUUACGCACUAAGUAACCCGCCUGGGGAUUAUGGUCGCAAGGCUGAAACUCAAAGGAAUUGAACGGGGCAACGCACAAGCGGUGGAGCAUGUGGUUUAAUUCGACGCAACGCGAAGAACCUUACCUGGGCUUGACAUGCUUGGGACAGCGCUGGAAACAG